rnacentral:lncRNA from 1 species
CUCGUUGUAGAUAUCCAGGCUGUCUUGCUUCAUCAGGGGCCUCCGGCUGCGGUGCCCACGCUUCUGCUGCUGCUCGGCCAGCUCAAUGGAGCAGGUGGGCGGUGAGGCGGCACGCAUGCUGCGCAUCACCUGGAUGCUGUCCUCGGGCAGGGGUGGCAGCCCCAGCUCCUCCCUCCUCCUCACCUUCAUUGUCUGCAGGGCUUCAAAU